rnacentral:tRNA from 2 species
UCUAAUAUGGCAGAAUAGUGCAAUGAAUUUAAGCUUCAUAUAUAAAGACAAAGUCUUUUAUUAGAA